rnacentral:rRNA from 1 species
AGUGAACGCUGGCGGUAGGCCUAACACAUGCAAGUCGAACGGCAGCACAGUAAGAGCUUGCUCUUACGGGUGGCGAGUGGCGGACGGGUGAGGAAUACACCGGAAUCUACUUUUUCGUGGGGGAUAACGUAGGGAAACUUACGAUAAUAUCGCAUACGACCUACGGGUGAAAGCAGGGGAUCUUCGGACCUUGCGCGAUUGAAUGCGCCGAUGUCGGAUUAGCUAGUUGGCGGGGUAAAGACCCACCAAGGGGACGAUCCGUAGCUGGUCUGAGAGGAUGAUCGGCCACACUGGAACUGAGACACGGUCCAGACGCCUACGGGAGGCAGCAGUGGGGAAUAUUGGACAAUGGGCGCAAGCCUGAUCCAGCCAUACCGCGUGGGUGAAGAAGGCCUUCGGGUUGUAAAGCCCUUUUGUUGGGAAAGAAAAGCAGCAGGUUAAUACCCCGCUGUUCUGACGGUACCCAAAGAAUAAGCACCGGCUAACUUCGUG